rnacentral:rRNA from 1 species
AGAAUCAACGCUGGCGGCGUGCCUAACACAUGCAAGUCGCACGAGAAAGGGGAGCAAUCCCUGAGUAAAGUGGCGCACGGGUGAGUAACACGUGAAUCAUCUACCUCCGAGUGGGGAAUAACUGAGAGAAAUCUUAGCUAAUACCGCAUAACACUUACGAGUCAAAGCAGCAAUGCGCUUGGAGAGGAGUUCGCGGCAGAUUAGUUAGUUGGCGGGGUAAUGGCCCACCAAGACGAUGAUCUGUAUCCGGCCUGAGAGGGCGCACGGACACACUGGAACUGAAACACGGUCCAGACUCCUACGGGAGGCAGCAGUGGGAAUUUUGCGCAAUGGGGAAACCCUGACGCAGCAACGCCGCGUGGAGGAUGAAGCCCCUUGGGGUGUAAACUCCUUUCGAUCGGGAAGAUAAUGACGGUACCGAUAUAAGAAGCCCCGGCUAACGUUCGUGCCAGCAGCCGC